ACKGCUCAGUAACACGUAGCUAACAUACCCUCAAGUGGAGGAUAAUCUCGGAAAUCUGAGGCUAAUACUCCAUAAUUGUUAAAUGCUGGAAUGCUUUAACAGUGAAAGCUCCGGCGCUUGAGGAUUGGGCUGCGGCCUAUCAUGGCUGUUGUGAGUGUAAAGCACUCACAAACCUGCAACGGGUAGGGGUCAUGAGAGUGGGAGCCUCGAGAUGCCUUCUGAGACCUGAAGGGAGGUCCUACGGGACGCCCAGGCGCGAAAACUUUCCAAUGGCUUAACGGCUGAGAAGGGAAUCCUGAGUGGUUAUGCUAUGCAUAACCUUUUAUUUUGCCUAAAAAGAAUUAUGAAUAAGUAUAGGGUAACACGGGUGGCAGCCGCCGCGGUAAUACCCGCGCUACUAGUGGUGAUCACGCUUAUUGAGUCUAAAGAUGCCCUACCCUGAUCCCUAAGUUCUUGGUGAACUCUGAUAACAUACUAUCAGGCUUGCUGGCAAUACUGAUGCACUUGGGAUUGGCAUAGGAUAGGGGGAUUCUUUGGGUAGGGGUUAAAUCCUGGACUGCAUUGAAGACCUCCGGUGCCGAACGCGUCUAUCUGGAACGAGGCCGACGGCGAGGGACGACUUGGUGAGGAGCAACCUCACAUUAGAUACAGACUUUCUAAUCCAAUGAUCUCAAGAUGACUGAAAGUUUGCUAUAAACCACGAUAUACGACACUGACCACUAUGCCCGCUUGAUGUUGCAAGCUGUACGACAGCUUGCCUGUCGAGAGCGCACGUGUUGAGAGAGGCUACCUGGGGAGUACGGCCGCAGGCUGACUAUAGGAUCCCCGGGUGCCGGAGCAC
rnacentral:rRNA from 1 species